UCUUGAAUGUGGGUUUUCAAGUUAUCAAUUACUUGAAGGUUCACAUCAAAAAGAAAUACCAAAAAUUCAAACCAAGAAUUUUAUUUGUAUUACCAAAUAAAAAUCUAAACCAUGAAAGAAAAAGCAAAUUAGGUGUAGCAAAGUCUGGACCACAUAUGAAAAUUAUAUGCAACAGGCCAUUAACAAGAACACAUCUUUGAAUAUCGAUCACAUAAAAUCAGGUCCUAUCUUCUAUUUAUCACCAAAAAAAAAAAUCCAAAAUAGAUAAGCAUAUCUACUAGUCUCGUGGGGCAAAAAUCAAUACAAGACCCGAAGUUAUGAGUCUUCAUCAAUCAGUUGAAUUGAAGGUUAGUGGCCGCGUGGCCUAAAAAUCAGCCAAAACAAAACAAAAAUUACAUUUAACACCUUAAUUACGAGGUUUACGGUUAAUUACUAAAUUUCAUUGAUUAAAAAAUUCUUAUAUAUAUGAGCAAAAUUUUUAAUGUACAAUAAAAACCAUAUUUAAAUAAAAUUUUAUCCAUUGAUAUUCAAAAAAGGAAUAGAGCUAAAAGCAGAAAAUUUCCCUUAAAUUUUAGACAAAGUAGUUUCAAAGUAAACUUUUUCGAUCCAAUUAGUUAUUAUAUUUUUGUUUAACUUUAAAUCAACACAAUUUUUAAUAAAAAUUAAAAUAAUAUUUUUAUUUUUCAUAAUGAAAUAUUAUUUUUAUAUAAAACUAAAAUUUUAAUCAUUUUAAAAAUUAAAAAAAAAUUCUAUCAACUCAGAGAGCAGAAACCUUCUUCGUUCAUUCUCAUCCUCGCUGCUUCACCGGCAGCAGCAUAAAGCAGAGCCCAAGUGACCAAGAAUUUAGGAGACCUUGUAGAAUCCACUUGGAUGGCCACGACAUGACGCUUGCCUACACCCGCACCCACUCCCAAGUUCCAACCCCACAUAGCGUUGAUUGCCAAACGUCAUAUCGUUUACCCCGAAAUCGUCUUCAAUAGUAGAGCGAGCUAUUUGGCAAGUUAAGCCAGUGAUGUAUUCCUCCUCGCCUCUCUCUUCCGUAGAACCGACCACCGACUUAUCAGAAAAUUGAGAUCGGAAGACACCCCAAAGGAUCCAAACCCAUAAAGAAAGUCAAAUGAGAACAAAGGCUUGGCAUGCUCAGUUUCAGAGACAGGCAUAUCUUUAGCAUUUCAGGGCCAUUGUUAAUAUUGUUACUGUGGCUUUCUUAUACAUGAAAAUAUCAUUGCCGGUGAGGAACUGAGAGGGCAACCAAAACUCGUCACCAUCUGAACUCUGUCAUAUUUAAAAACCCUAGCAAUGACAGAAAGAGCAAAAAAAAAAGGUACAAGGGGGGAGAAUGAAAGUGAAAGUUCUGAUGAUUUUAGAGUAAAUGAGGGUUUGCUGCUUGGUGAAAAUCCUGGUUUUGGAAUUUUUGCUGGAUUUGCUGCCUUAGAAAGAGUAAAAACAAAUGGAAAGCCAGGAUUCUCCCUUUCAUUAGCAAAUGCUCAAAGCAAAUUUCAAAGUACCAAAUUAAAUUGUUAGGUAACUUGUAAAAAACUAUAAAGUCUCAUCGAAAAUCACUGAAACAAAAAAACGACAACUAUAAGUUAAACCGUACAAUAUAUAGGACUAUCAAACAAAAACCUUUAAUUCUGACAUAAAUGGUGACC
rnacentral:misc_RNA from 1 species